GCGGGGAUAGUAUAGUGGUUAGUACAGUUCGUUGUGGAAUUACGCAAGUAAUUAGCGACGCCGAACAGACCUGAGUUCGAUUCUCGGUCCCCGCA